rnacentral:tRNA from 1 species
ACCUGAAUGGCUCAGUUGGUUGAGCGUCUGACUUCAGCUCAGGUCAUGAUCGCACAGUUUAUGAGUUCGAGCCCCAUGUUGGGCU